rnacentral:rRNA from 2 species
GAAGUGCGGUGUGCUAUACAUGCAAGUCGAACGCGUUGGCCCAAUUGAUUGAUGGUGCUUGCACCUGAUUGAUUUUGGUCGCCAACGAGUGGCGGACGGGUGAGUAACACGUAGGUAACCUGCCCAGAAGCGGGGGACAACAUUUGGAAACAGAUGCUAAUACCGCAUAACAGCGUUGUUCGCAUGAACAACGCUUAAAAGAUGGCUUCUCGCUAUCACUUCUGGAUGGACCUGCGGUGCAUUAGCUUGUUGGUGGGGUAACGGCCUACCAAGGCGAUGAUGCAUAGCCGAGUUGAGAGACUGAUCGGCCACAAUGGGACUGAGACACGGCCCAUACUCCUACGGGAGGCAGCAGUAGGGAAUCUUCCACAAUGGGCGCAAGCCUGAUGGAGCAACACCGCGUGAGUGAAGAAGGGUUUCGGCUCGUAAAGCUCUGUUGUUAAAGAAGAACACGUAUGAGAGUAACUGUUCAUACGUUGACGGUAUUUAACCAGAAAGUCACGGCUAACUACGUGCCAGCAGCCGCGGUAAUACGUAGGUGGCAAGCGUUAUCCGGAUUUAUUGGGCGUAAAGAGAGUGCAGGCGGUUUUCUAAGUCUGAUGUGAAAGCCUUCGGCUUAACCGGAGAAGUGCAUCGGAAACUGGAUAACUUGAGUGCAGAAGAGGGUAGUGGAACUCCAUGUGUAGCGGUGGAAUGCGUAGAUAUAUGGAAGAACACCAGUGGCGAAGGCGGCUACCUGGUCUGCAACUGACGCUGAGACUCGAAAGCAUGGGUAGCGAACAGGAUUAGAUACCCUGGUAGUCCAUGCCGUAAACGAUGAGUGCUAGGUGUUGGAGGGUUUCCGCCCUUCAGUGCCGGAGCUAACGCAUUAAGCACUCCGCCUGGGGAGUACGACCGCAAGGUUGAAACUCAAAGGAAUUGACGGGGGCCCGCACAAGCGGUGGAGCAUGUGGUUUAAUUCGAAGCUACGCGAAGAACCUUACCAGGUCUUGACAUCUUGCGCCAACCCUAGAGAUAGGGCGUUUCCUUCGGGAACGCAAUGACAGGUGGUGCAUGGUCGUCGUCAGCUCGUGUCGUGAGAUGUUGGGUUAAGUCCCGCAACGAGCGCAACCCUUGUUACUAGUUGCCAGCAUUAAGUUGGGCACUCUAGUGAGACUGCCGGUGACAAACCGGAGGAAGGUGGGGACGACGUCAGAUCAUCAUGCCCCUUAUGACCUGGGCUACACACGUGCUACAAUGGACGGUACAACGAGUCGCGAACUCGCGAGGGCAAGCAAAUCUCUUAAAACCGUUCUCAGUUCGGACUGCAGGCUGCAACUCGCCUGCACGAAGUCGGAAUCGCUAGUAAUCGCGGAUCAGCAUGCCGCGGUGAAUACGUUCCCGGGCCUUGUACACACCGCCCGUCACACCAUGAGAGUUUGUAACACCCAAAGUCGGUGGGGUAACCUUUUAGGAGCCAGCCGCCUAAGGUGACAGAGUAGUAA